GGAUCCAGACUUUGAUCAUGGCUCAGGAUGAACGCUAGCUACAGGCUUAACACAUGCAAGUCGAGGGGCAGCAUGGUCUUAGCUUGCUAAGGCCGAUGGCGACCGGCGCACGGGUGAGUAACACGUAUCCAACCUGCCGUCUACUCUUGGACAGCCUUCUGAAAGGAAGAUUAAUACAAGAUGGCAUCAUGAGUCCACAUGUUCACAUGAUUAAAGGUAUUCCGGUAGACGAUGGGGAUGCGUUCCAUUAGAUAGUAGGCGGGGUAACGGCCCACCUAGUCUUCGAUGGAUAGGGGUUCUGAGAGGAAGGUC
rnacentral:rRNA from 1 species